rnacentral:rRNA from 1 species
UACGGAGGGGGCUAGCGUUAUUCGGAAUUAUUGGGCGUAAAGGGCGCGUAGGCGGCCCGGUAAGUCAAAGGUGAAAUCCCUCGGCUCAACUGAGGAACUGCCUUUGAAACUGUCGGGCUUGAGGCCGGGAGGGGGUAGCGGAAUUCCCAGUGUAGCGGUGAAAUGCGUAGAUAUUGGGAGGAACACCAGUGGCGAAGGCGGCUACCUGGACCGGCACCGACGUUCAGGCACGAAAGCGUGGGGAGCAAACAGG